AGUUUGAUCAUUGGAUCAUAUGGUAAGAAUAUGCACAGUUUUGUGAUAAACUACAAAACUGUCUUCCAAAGUUGCUGUACCAUUAUGUGUCCUCACUAUUAAU
rnacentral:pre_miRNA from 1 species